UUGUAAUUGGAAUGAUGGUGACGUAAAAUCUCACCAGAGUAACAAUUGGAGGGCAAGUCUGGUGCCAGCAGCCGCGGUAAUUCCAGCUCCAAUAGCGUAUAUUAAACUUGUUGCAGUUAAAAAGCUCGUAGUUGAAUUUCUGCGUUGCCCGACUCGGCUACUUGCCUUGUCUGGUUUCGCUUUUGGGGUUUUCCCCUUUUUACUUUGAGAAAAUUAGAGUGUUUCAAGCAGACUUGUGUCUUGAAUACUUCAGCAUGGAAUAAUAAAGUAGGACUUUGGUUCUAUUUUGUUGGUUUGUGAACCUUAGUAAUGGUUAAUAGGAACGGUUGGGGGCAUUCGUAUUUAACUGUCAGAGGUGAAAUUCUUAGAUUUGUUAAAGACGAACUACUGCGAAAGCAUUUGCCAAGGACGUUUUCAUUAAUCAAGAACGAAAGUUAGGGGAUCGAAGACGAUCAGAUACCGUCGUAGUCCUAACCAUAAAC
rnacentral:rRNA from 1 species